CCCUUAGAUGUUCUGGGCCGCACACGCGCUACACUGAAGGAGGCAGCGUGUACUCCUGGAUCGAAAGAUUUGGGUAACCCGCGAAUCUCCUUCGUGCUAGGGAUUGAGGUUUGCAAUUAUCCUUCAUGAACGAGGAAUUCCCAGUAAGUGCAAGUCAUAAGCUUGCGCUGACUACGUCCCUGCCCUUUGUACACACCGCCCGUCGCUACUACCGAUUGAAUGAUAUAGUGAGGACUUCGGACUGGGACCGAUGCGGCUUUCGGGCUGCGUCGGUAUUCUGGAAAGAUGUCCAAACUGUAUCAUUUAGAGGAAGUAAAAGUCGUAACA
rnacentral:rRNA from 1 species